rnacentral:sRNA from 1 species
AGGAAGCUUCUCAACGAAAGCCCUACCUCUCUUUCAUCCUCACAGUUCCUUGACUGCGCCGGUCUUACUAAUCUUUCAUGGAUUCCA